rnacentral:rRNA from 1 species
AGCUAAACGGCCGCGGUAUCUUGACCGUGCAAAGGUAGCAUAAUCAUUUGUCUUUUAAAUGGAGACUUGUAUGAACGGCGAAACCUUUUUUAACUGUCUCCCCUCCUACCCUUAUAAAUUUCCCUCUGCGUGAAGAGGCGCAGAUUAAACAGAAAGACGAGAAGACCCUGUCGAGCUUCAGUCUACAAGUGAGCACAUAACAAUCACCCAAAGACUUUGGUUGGGGCAACCCUGGAGAAAAAAGAUCCUCCAGAAGCAAUAGAAGAAACCCACUCCCUAUUUUCAUUAUCAAGAACCAGAACCUGAUAUACGGAAAAAGUUACCGCAGGGAUAACAGCGUCAUCCCCUCUAAGAGUCCUUAUUGACGAGGGGGUUUGCGACCUCGAUGUUGGAUUAGGGCCCCCUUAGGGUGCAGAAGCUCUAAAAGGUUAGACUGUUCGUCUAUUAAAGCCCC